GCAAUGGGCGGGGCCACAUCCGUUCUCCACAGCCGUGAUUGCUUAGGUCGGGCUCUAGCCCUGUGGGCCGCCGAUUCUGAACACCCCAGAACCUUCGUCUAUCAUUCCGCGAGAGAAAACGCCACGAGCGGACGGUCGGCGGCCGCAUAUUUCUUCCGCAUUGACGGUGGGGCCCGACGCCGGCCACACCGCCACAGAGAGAAACGUUAGGACAGACUGACUGGUUGAGAAUUGAGAACCAAAAGAAGAGAGAGGAAGACAGGAAGAGAGAGAGAGAGCGCGCGCUUCCAGGUUUUUAGCUGCAGGGGAGGCCGAUAGUUCUGUUCUACUGGAGGAGGAGCAGAGAGCAAGAUGGGGUCCGGAUCUUUCCUCAAGGUGCUGGCCAAGAACUUCGAUGUCCUUGCCGGGCCACUCAUAUCACUUGCUUAUCCUCUAUAUGCUUCUGUUAGAGCAAUAGAGACAAAAAAUCCUGUAGAUGAUCAGCAGUGGCUCACUUACUGGGUGUUGUACUCAUUUGUCACUUUGUUUGAGCUAACUUUUGCUCCAAUUAUCGAGUGGCUUCCAUUUUGGUCAUAUGCAAAACUGUUCUUUAACUGCUGGUUGGUCUUACCUUGGUUCAAUGGUGCUGCUUAUGUUUACGACCAUUUUGUGCGGCCAAUGUUUGUGAACCGCCGAAUAGUGAACAUAUGGUAUGUUCCAAGAAAUGAGAAGCUAGGUAAAUCUGAUGAUGUGCUGUCAGCUGCAGAGAGAUAUAUUGAACAAAAUGGACCUGAAGCAUUUGAGAAGCUCAUCAGCAAGGGGAUAACAUCAUUGUUCUCCUGAAACACAACCUCUCGCGCUAGAGAUUGGAAGUGCUGCCAGAUAGACUGAAGGCCGCAAGGAAACCAAUGCCUAAAGCAUAACUGAAAUCUUCAUCUUUGGCUUUUGAAACAGAGAUAUCUUGCUGCUCACAUAAACAGAACGAAAUAUGAUAUUUAUGAAGCAAGGAAUCUUCAUUCAACCAUAAGUACCUCCAAAACAAAGUGUUUUUUUACCAUUUCUCACCAAAACUUCCUUAAAGAUAAGUUGGCUUCAUUUUUAGCAGAUCUGCCCAAACUGGAGAGUCAUCAUGCAUUUUAGUUAUCAUAUUCAAGUUCCCACGGCCACUUGACUAAGAGGCUGAUAUCAGGCAUGAGCUUCUGCCUUUGAGGAGCUUUCAUCGAGGUCUAUUGCUCCUAGAUAGGGAGUGCCCUGCCCCUGGUAGUGUUUGGUCGGGUCAGAGUGAUGUUGACUUUUCUAUCUCCCAAGGGGUUGCUAACCUCUCAUGGAUUUGUAUUCCUUUAUUUUCUUUUCUUAAUAAAAUUAUGCACAUCUCUCCUGCGUGGUUGGAGGAAAAAAAAGAAAGUUCUCCACAUGCAUCUGCAUGUUAUAUAUCAAAUUAUUUGUGCCUCGUCUCUUGAUUUAAUAACCCCAUUGCCACUUGUAAGGCUAUCUUCAGCAAAUCCCCUAGCCCAUCAUCUAUCACAUCCAAUAUUUCAAACUUCACUCUGUAAACAAUGUCAAAUAGUGCUCUCUACAGUUCCGCAUCCCCUAUUUUACGCGAUCCACAAUCUAAUUACUUAAUUGCAGUCUACCAAGUCUUCAAAAUCAAGAAGCACAAAGCGGUCGAUCUUGGAGGAGGCAGAGGCUGAAAGAGAAUCAUGGGGUGAAAAUCCCUUCUACGACAAAAAUUACAGACACUAAACCUCUUCAAAAUCCACCUAGCAGCUUGAAGACAACCUUUGCCCACGAGCCUCAUGCAAGCUUUUUAGUUGCAUCAGACUGAAGACGACCUUCCCAAAUUUCUGACUCUCAGUAUACUAUACCUUGUUACAUUCACUGCCAGUCUGUCGCUGGACAAUGAUGAGUUCUAGAGCAAUUGUGGACUGUGUUUGUAAAUGGAGGCAGAUGCUAGCGUUGAUCAUUUUUCACUGUACGUUUCUUCCUUCUGGUUGGUGGUACGUGCUCUGCUGCAAUUUCAAGCGAACAGAUUUCAGCACCUCGUGUCAUUUUUUUUAGAAAUUUGUUAUUUCUGUCAACGGAUUUCUUCCAAGGUGUAUGUCAAGUUUCUUACCUCA